CGAGAACAAAUGCCACACCGAUAUUCUCAGCCCACGGGGCAGCAACGCCUCCUCGCGCAACUGGUGACGUAUAUACAGUGACAUUGAUAAGGAUUCUGUAAUGCUUUGUUCUCAUUCGUUUCAUCCGAGAAACAGAUAAAGGAAGCGAGAAAGAGCGAGCGAGGGACGGGAGGAGGAGAGGAGAGACAGGGAGCAGGAAAGUCAGGAACCGACACAAUAGGAGGGUCGAUUCAGGGCUCACAAAAUAGAAGCAGCACUCCAGUGCGAUCUACAGGAAAAAAAAACUCGGGAACAUCGUCUUCCUCGUGAACAUGAAUAGCUGGGAGAGGAACCUCGGAGGAAAUGGUCGAAAUUGAACUUCGAAAUCGAGUCUGAUGCCCAACGUCGCGGAGAUCGCGGUCUCACAAAAUAUAUGUUUUUCACUCGA